GACGGAGGAUGCAAGUGUUAUCCGGAAUCACUGGGCGUAAAGCGUCUGUAGGUGGUUUAAAAAGUCUGCUGUUAAAAAUUGAAGCUUAACUUCAAAGGUGCCGUAGAAACUUUUAAACUAGAGUAUGAUAGGGGUAGAGGGAAUUUCCAGUGGAGCGGUGAAAUGUGUAGAUAUUGGAAAGACCACCAAUGGCGAAGGCACUCUACUGGGCCAUUACUGACACUGAGAGACGAAAGCUAGGGGAGCAAAUGGG
rnacentral:rRNA from 1 species